GACGGGAUACUUCGCCUGUUAAGCGACUGGUCGUUGGUUCGAAUCCAACUUCCGCCG
rnacentral:tRNA from 1 species